GUCAGCUGUUGGGGAUCAGAGGCCGCACUCAUCGUAGCAGAGAGGCAGGACCAACUGGGACAGGGUCCUUCUGUGACACCUACUGCAUCACCGGGCUCUGUGAAGUGACUCAGCUGCCAGAACUCACACAGUAUCAUUCUACACCAAAGCCUCACGGGAAAAAUGCUCCACGACCCUCAGGCUUAAACAGCAGUACUGGCUCCUCCCCAGCUCUCCAGCUCCCUGACCCUCAAACUCCAACUCCAGCACCAACUCCGCCCCGGGUCUCCAGCUCCACAAUCCUCAAACUACAACGGCAGCACCAGCUCGCCUGUGGAUCUCCAGCUCAAUGACUCUCAGACUUGGGAGGCAGCACCGGCUCCCCACCAAGGCUCCAGCUCUACAACCUUCAAACUACAACAGCAGCACCGGCUCCUCCCUAGGUCUCCAGCUACACGACCAUCAAACUUGAACUGCAACACCAGCUCCUCUUCGGCCUCCAGCUCCACAAUCCUCCAACAACAACAGCAACACCGGCUCCUCCUUGAAUCUCCAGCUCAACAACUCUCAGUCUUGAGAGGCAGCACCGGCACCUCCCCAAGGCUCCAGCUCCAUGACCCUGAGAUUUGAACAGCGGUAGCACCGGCUCCUGUCCAGGUCUCCAGAUCCACGACCCUCUAAAUAGCAUGGCAUCACCAGCUCCUCCCUUAGUCUCCAGCUCCCAAACCCUCAAACUUCAAUUGACACAGCGGAUCCUCCCCACAGUUAAACAGCAGCAUGGGCUGUUCCCCAAAGUUCCAGAUCCACGACCCUCUGACUUAAAUGGCGGUAGCACCGGCUCCUGCCCAAGUCUCCAGUUCCACGACCCUCAAACUACAGAGGAGCACCGGCUCCUCCCCAGGUCUACAGCUCCACCACCCUCACACUACACACCAAGACUACCUCCUCCCCGCUCUCCAGCUACACGACCCUCAGACUUCAACAGCAGCAGCGGC